rnacentral:rRNA from 1 species
ACUGAACGCUGGCGGCAUGCUUUACACAUGCAAGUCGAACGGUAACAGGGUGCUUGCACCGCUGACGAGUGGCGAACGGGUGAGUAAUGCGUCGGAACGUGCCGAGUAGUGGGGGAUAACGCAGCGAAAGUUGUGCUAAUACCGCAUACGUACUGAGGUAGAAAGUGGGGGACCUUCGGGCCUCACGCUAUUCGAGCGGCCGACGGCUGAUUAGCUAGUAGGUGAGGUAAAGGCUCACCUAGGCGACGAUCAGUAGCGGGUCUGAGAGGAUGAUCCGCCACACUGGGACUGAGACACGGCCCAGACUCCUACGGGAGGCAGCAGUGGGGAAUUUUGGACAAUGGGCAAAAGCCUGAUCCAGCCAUGCCGCGUGUCUGAAGAAGGCCUUCGGGUUGUAAAGGACUUUUGUCAGGGAGGAAAUCCCUAGUGCUAAUAACACUGGGGGAUGACAGUACCUGAAGAAUAAGCACCGGCUAACUACGUGCCAGCCGCCGCAGUAA